GACGAACGCUGGCGGCGCGCCUAACACAUGCAAGUCGAACGAGCGAGCGAGAGCUUGCUUUCUCAAGCGAGUGGCGAACGGGUGAGUAACGCGUGAGGAACCUGCCUCAAAGAGGGGGACAACAGUUGGAAACGACUGCUAAUACCGCAUAAGCCCACAGGUCGGCAUCGACCAGAGGGAAAAGGAGCAAUCCGCUUUGAGAUGGCCUCGCGUCCGAUUAGCUAGUUGGUGAGGUAACGGCCCACCAAGGCAACGAUCGGUAGCCGGACUGAGAGGUUGAACCGCCACAUUGGGACUGAGGCACGGCCCAGAACCCUACGGGAGGGAGGCGUGGGGAAUAUUGCACAAUGGGGGAAAACCUGAUGCAGCCACGGCGGGUGGAGGAAGAAGGUCUUCAGAUUGUAAACUCCUGUUGUUGAGGAAGAUAAUGACGGUAAUCAAAAAGGAAGGGACGGCUAACUACGUG
rnacentral:rRNA from 1 species